GUGGGGAAUCUUGCGCAAUGGGCGAAAGCCUGACGCAGCAACGCCGCGUGCGGGAAGAAGGUCUUAGGGUUGUAAACCGCUUUCAGCAGGGACGAAGGCAAUCGGGUUAAUAGCCCGUGAGUUGACGGUACCUGCAGAAGAAGGUCCGGCUAACUACGUGCCAGCAGCCGCGGUAAUACGUAGGGACCAAGCGUUGUCCGGAAUCAUUGGGCGUAAAGAGCGUGUAGGCGGCUUGUUAAGUCUUGUGUGAAAUCUCGGGGCUCAACCCCGAGCGGUCAUGAGAAACUGGCAGGCUAGAGUGCGGGAGAGGAGAGUGGAAUUCCUGGUGUAGCGGUGAAAUGCGCAGAUAUCAGGAAGAACACCCGUGGCGAAGGCGGCUCUCUGGAACGCAACUGACGCUGAGACGCGAAAGCGUGGGGAGCAAACAGGAUUAGAUACCCUUGUAGUCC
rnacentral:rRNA from 1 species